rnacentral:snoRNA from 1 species
CCGACAUGGACAUCCAGGAGUCCUUCUCCUGGCUCUGUCCUGGUGGCGUAUGGGAGCGUAGCUCCGGCUCGGACGUCCAUUCCCGUUCCACGGUGUCGGACAGAAAGCUCCGUCCCCGGCUGCUCGCCGGCGAGGACGAGCGUCCUGUAUAUUCCUACACCUUCCCAGAGUCCUUUGGGCCGUUACUGGGGAGCUAAACCAUGCAGGACACAGAC